AUACCGCAUAACAACUUGGACCGCAUGGUCCGAGCUUGAAAGAUGGCUUCGGCUAUCACUUUUGGAUGGUCCCGCGGCGUAUUAGCUAGAUGGUGGGGUAACGGCUCACCAUGGCAAUGAUACGUAGCCGACCUGAGAGGGUAAUCGGCCACAUUGGGACUGAGACACGGCCCAAACUCCUACGGGAGGCAGCAGUAGGGAAUCUUCCACAAUGGACGAAAGUCUGAUGGAGCAACGCCGCGUGAGUGAAGAAGGGUUUCGGCUCGUAAAACUCUGUUGUUAAAGAAGAACAUAUCUGAGAGUAACUGUUCAGGUAUUGACGGUAUUUAACCAGAAAGCCACGGCUAACUACGUGCCAGCAGCCGCGGUAAUACGUAGGUGGCAAGCGUUGUCCGGAUUUAUUGGGCGUAAAGCGAGCGCAGGCGGUUUUUUAAGUCUGAUGUGAAAGCCUUCGGCUCAACCGAAGAAGUGCAUCGGAAACUGGGGAACUUGAGUGCA
rnacentral:rRNA from 2 species